GACAGAGGUCCCGAGCGUUAGGCGGAAUCACUGGGCUUAAAGCGUGUGUAGGCGGCGGCCUAAGUACCUUGUGAAAUCCCACGGCUCACCCGUGGAACUGCUCGUUAUACUGGGUCGCUUGAGCCACUUAGGGGCUACCGGAACAAAUGGUGGAGCGGUGAAAUGCGUAGAUAUCAUUUGGAACGCCAAUGGUGAAAACAGGUAGCUGGGAGUGUGCUGACGCUGAGACACGAAAGCCAGGGGAGCAAACGGG
rnacentral:rRNA from 1 species